rnacentral:rRNA from 1 species
AUAAUAAGUCAGUGGUGAAAGUCUGCAGCUCAACUGUAGAAUUGCCAUUGAUACUGUUGUUCUUGAAUUAUUAUGAAGUGGUUGGAAUGAGUAGUGUAGCGGUGAAAUGCAUAGAUAUUACUCAGAACACCUAUUGCGAAGGCAGAUCACUAAUAAUAUAUUGACGCUGAGGGACGAAAGCGUAGGUAGCGAACAGGAUUAGAUACCCUGGUAGUCUACGCCGUAAACGAUGGUUACUAGCUGUUCGGCUCGAUUGAGAGCUGAGUGGUUAAGCGAAAGUGAUAAGUAACCCACCUGGGGAGUACGUUCGCAAGAAUGAAACUCAAAGGAAUUGACGGGGGCCCGCACAAGCGGUGGAGCAUGUGGUUUAAUUCGAUGAUACGCGAGGAACCUUACCAGGGCUUAAAUGCAGUUGGACAGGUCUGGAAACAGACCCUUCUUCGGACUAAUUGCAAGGUGCUGCAUGGUUGUCGUCAGCUCGUGCCGUGAGGUGUCAGGUUAAGUCCUAUAACGAGCGCAACCCCUGUGGUUAGUUGCCAGCGAGUCAUGUCGGGAACUCUAGCCAGACUGCCAGUGCAAACUGUGAGGAAGGUGGGGAUGACGUCAAAUCAUCACGGCCCUUACGUCCUGGGCCACACACGUGCUACAAUGGUAGGGACAGAGGGCAGCUACCCCGCGAGGGGAUGCGAAUCUUCAAACCCUAUCACAGUUCGGAUCGCAGUCUGCAACUCGACUGCGUGAAGCUGGAAUCGCUAGUAAUCGCAUAUCAGCCAUGAUGCGGUGAAUACGUUCCCGGGCCCGGUGCACACCGCCCGUCAAGCCAUGGAAGCCGGGGGUACCUGAAGUCC